UAAGACGAACCGUGCGAACGUUAUUCGGAAUCACUGGGCUUAAAGCGCGUGUAGGCGGGCCGGCACGUCCGGCGCUGAAAUCCCCCGGCUCAACCGGGGAAGCGGCGCGGAUACGACCGGCCUGGAGGGGGGUAGGGGGGCCUGGAACUGCCGGUGGAGCGGUGAAAUGCGUUGAGAUCGGCAGGAACGCCCGCGGCGAAAGCGAGGCCCUGGACCCUUACUGACGCUGAGACGCGAAAGCCAGGGGAGCGAACGGGAUUAGAUACCCCGGUAGUCCUGGCCCUAAACCAUGGGCACUGGGUAGGGGGCUCGCCGAUGGGCUCCCUGCCGCAGCGAAAGCGUGAAGUGCCCCGCCUGGGGAGUAUGGUCGCAAGGCUG
rnacentral:rRNA from 1 species